UACGUAGGUGGCAAGCGUUGUCCGGAAUUAUUGGGCGUAAAGCGCGCGCAGGCGGUCCUUUAAGUCUGAUGUGAAAGCCCACGGCUCAACCGUGGAGGGUCAUUGGAAACUGGGGGACUUGAGUGCAGGAGAGAAGAGUGGAAUUCCACGUGUAGCGGUGAAAUGCGUAGAGAUGUGGAGGAACACCAGUGGCGAAGGCGACUCUCUGGGACGGUACUGACGCUGAGACGCGAAGGUCAGGGGAGCAAACGGG
rnacentral:rRNA from 1 species